GACGAACCGUGCGAACGUUGUUCGGAUUCACUGGGCUUAAAGGGCGCGUAGGCGGAUUGUCAAGUCCGAGGUGAAAUCCUCUCGCUUAACGAGAGAACUGCCCCGGAUACUGAUGAUCUCGAGGGAGGUAGGGGCAUGUGGAACUUCCGGUGGAGCGGUGAAAUGCGUAGAUAUCGGAAGGAACGCCGGUGGCGAAAGCGGCGUGCUGGACCUCUUCUGACGCUGAGGCGCGAAAGCCAGGGGAGCAAACGGG
rnacentral:rRNA from 1 species